rnacentral:tRNA from 1 species
GGGUAUAUAGCUCAACUGGCAGAGCACCCGGCUUUUAACCGGUUGGUUUUAGGUUCAAGUCCUAAUAUACCUA